ensembl:snoRNA SNORA70 Small nucleolar RNA SNORA70
AAGCAAAAAAGAUGUUUCAAAUUAGUGUAUUAGAUGAUGGGUGCCCAGUGUGCAAUGGCUAAAUAGCAAACUCCUCAAUGGUAUAUGCAGCCUGCUGCUUGUAUGGGCUAAUCCUAAGGGACCUUGGAGACACUG